rnacentral:rRNA from 1 species
GAGUAAUGUCUGGGAAACUGCCUGAUGGAGGGGGAUAACUACUGGAAACGGUGGCUAAUACCGCAUAACGUCGCAAGACCAAAGAGGGGGACCUUCGGGCCUCUUGCCAUCAGAUGUGCCCAGAUGGGAUUAGCUUGUUGGUGAGGUAACGGCUCACCAAGGCGACGAUCCCUAGCUGGUCUGAGAGGAUGACCAGCCACACUGGAACUGAGACACGGUCCAGACUCCUACGGGAGGCAGCAGUGGGGAAUAUUGCACAAUGGGCGCAAGCCUGAUGCAGCCAUGCCGCGUGUAUGAAGAAGGCCUUCGGGUUGUAAAGUACUUUCAGCGGGGAGGAAGGUGUUGUGGUUAAUAACCGCAGCAAUUGACGUUACCCGCAGAAGAAGCACCGGCUAACUCCGUGCCAGCAGCCGCGGUAAUACGGAGGGUGCAAGCGUUAAUCGGAAUUACUGGGCGUAAAGCGCACGCAGGCGGUCUGUCAAGUCGGAUGUGAAAUCCCCGGGCUCAACCUGGGAACUGCAUUCGAAACUGGCAGGCUUGAGUCUUGUAGAGGGGGGUAGAAUUCCAGGUGUAGCGGUGAAAUGCGUAGAGAUCUGGAGGAAUACCGGUGGCGAAGGCGGCCCCCUGGACAAAGACUGACGCUCAGGUGCGAAAGCGUGGGGAGCAAACAGGAUUAGAUACCCUGGUAGUCCACGCCGUAAACGAUGUCUACUUGGAGGUUGUGCCCUUGAGGCGUGGCUUCCGGAGCUAACGCGUUAAGUAGACCGCCUGGGGAGUACGGCCGCAAGGUUAAAACUCAAAUGAAUUGACGGGGGCCCGCACAAGCGGUGGAGCAUGUGGUUUAAUUCGAUGCAACGCGAAGAACCUUACCUGGUCUUGACAUCCACAGAACAUUCCAGAGAUGGAUUGGUGCCUUCGGGAACUGUGAGACAGGUGCUGCAUGGCUGUCGUCAGCUCGUGUUGUGAAAUGUUGGGUUAAGUCCCGCAACGAGCGCAACCCUUAUCCUUUGUUGCCAGCGGUCCGG